rnacentral:lncRNA from 1 species
CAAACAUUCUGGGAAGGGACGGUAGUCAUGAUGGAAUCUCACUCUGUCACCCAGACUGGAGUGCAGUGGCGCAAUCUCGGUUUACUAAAACCUCCGCCUCCCAGGUUCGAGUGAUUUUCCUGCUUCAGCCUCCCAAGUAGCUGGGAUUCCAGGCACCCAACACCAUGCUCGGCUAAUUUUUGUAUUUUUAGUAGAGACAAGGUUUCACCAUGUUGGCCAGGCUGGUCUCAAACUCUUGACCUCAGGUAAUCCGUCCCCCGCAGCCUCCCAAUGUGCUGACAUACAGGCGUGAGCCACCGCGCCCGGGCAAUAUUUUAUUAAUACUUUGGUAUUUUUUCCUUGUAUUGUACUUCCAAGUGAUGAAACUUACUUUGAAGUUUUCCCAGAAAGGUUUUCUUUCUCUCUGAUGACAUUAGAAUUAUUGAAAGAUUGAAUCUUGACUGUAAAAUUAACAGAUUGUUAAAAGGCAUCUAAAUCUUUUCAGAUAGAAUUAAUAAUUCAUGUUCAUUUCCAUUCUUUGGUUGUGGAAGUGAUUCUGGUUGUUAACAGUUCAUUCAAGGAAGAAAUAAGAGAAACAAAAGUUACUAUAAAAUUUUUGCAGCUAUGCGAAAGUAAGUUCCUGAUUACCUCGACCAAUUCUCCACUCCCACCAUAAUAGCUCACUUGGGCUGAUAAAGAAAAUAAUGUCAUUGUUCUUUGUUUGCUUAAAUUGCAAAAAGCCGGAUUUAAUUUUAUUGUUUCUCAUUAUGAAAUUAUGAGCUUCUCCAAAAUGCAGAAUAUACACACACAAUAUGUCAACAAUAAUCUUAAAAAAUCUAAGAAAAAAUGACCAAAUUAUUUUUGUCAUUUCUAUAUAAAAUAUUCACAUUUGCUAAAUAUUAUAUCUAAAUCUUUCAAGGCUAAGCAAAAGUUUCGUGAUAAGACUUGUAUAUUAAUUAAAGUAAU